GUAGGUGGCAAGCGUUGUCCGGAAUUAUUGGGCGUAAAGCGCGCGCAGGCGGUUCUUUAAGUCUGAUGUGAAAGCCCACGGGCUCAACCGUGGAGGGUCAUUGGAAACUGGAGAACUUGAGUACAGAAGAGGAAAGCGGAAUUCCACGUGUAGCGGUGAAAUGCGUAGAGAUGUGGAGGAACACCAGUGGCGAAGGCGGCUUUCUGGUCUGUAACUGACGCUGAGGCGCGAAAGCGUGGGGAGCAAACAGGAUUAGAUACCCUGGUAGUCCACGCCGUAAACGAUGAGUGCUUAGUGUUAGGGGGUUUCCGCCCCUUAGUGCUGCAGCUAACGCAUUAAGCACUCCGCCUGGGGAGUACGGCCGCAAGGCUG
rnacentral:rRNA from 1 species